rnacentral:lncRNA from 1 species
GUGGGGGUGUGUGUGACAUUGUGUCUGGGGCCUUGGGAGGUAACACUGAGGUGGGGAUUGCUAGGAGGAGAGGUUCCGCGGUGUUUGAGUGGAUGCGGAGUGGCGGGGGUCAGGUGCCUGAGGAUCGAGGGGCCGGAGUGUAUACUAUUCCGUUUUGUAAUAUUGAUGAGGGGUGCUCCCAACAAUGCAUGGGCGGCGCAGGGAGAGGUCUGGGGACGGGGCUGGCGGAGCAUGGAGCGGACAUCGAGAGGGGACGAUUGACUGCGGCCUUGGUGGGGAGGACCUGCAAACGGGAUCUUGAUGUAAUGUGGAAAGGUGC